AUUAUGACCUCACAACAUGGUGGGCACAAGCUAUAACCAGGUAUAAUAAACAAUGGACGUGAUCAGCUUAUAAGUAGAGAACCCUGGACUCAGCUGACAAGAGUGUAAAUGCAGGGAAUCAAAGAGACAACAACAGAAGAAAGCUUGCUUGAGGAAGAGGAAGAGACACGGGAUAGGAUGGCUCUGAAAAUCUCUAAGGAGAAAUUCAUGGUUUUAAAGGAUUUUUAAAAGAAACCAAGGUCAGAUUAUUAAAAUGGCCAUUAUUAUGCUGCAACCAUUUUAAAGGUGGGUCAG